UCUCCGUAGGUGAACCUGCGGAGGGAUCAUUACUGAGUGAGGGCUCACGCCCGACCUCCAACCCUUUGUGAACACAUCUUGUUGCUUCGGGGGCGACCCUGCCGGCACUCUGUCGCCGGGCGCCCCCGAAGGUCUCCAAACACUGCAUCUUUGCGUCGGAGUCUUAAUGAAUUUAAACAAAACUUUUAACAACGGAUCUCUUGGUUCUGGCAUCGAUGAAGAACGCAGC
rnacentral:misc_RNA from 1 species